CUGAGGAGAAAAGACAGUGCUCAUGAACUUAUUCAGAACCAAGAUCAGUGGACAGACGUUAUAUUUAAACCCAGUCCAACAGCUUUCAACAGCACGGACUUUGCAACCACAAGGUUCUAGGACUGACGGUAUUUGGUCAAGUCCUUUUACGUUCUGAAUCGAAUCCCAUUUCCACAUUCGGUAACCCAUAUUAAAAUGUGCGGUUAGCAAAAACUGGAUCAUUACAUUGUCAAGGCGAGUUGGCAUUAAUUUGACCAAAUCCUCGGAAUGCACAGUUUUUGCAACGCCACAAUAGAAACGAAUCAAAGAAGAAGCUCGUACCCGGUUGCUCAACCUGCCACAAACAGCAGUCAAAUCUCCCUUGAAUCACGCUGAAGCUUUUUUUUUAGGGUGCCAUAUUGAAUAAUGUAGAACUACAUGCACAUUUCUGUUUUG